rnacentral:rRNA from 1 species
ACAGCAGUCGCCGCGGUAACACAGAGGGUGCGAGCGUUAAUCGGAUUUACUGGGCGUAAAGCGUGCGUAGGCGGCUUCUUAAGUCGGAUGUGAAAUCCCUGAGCUUAACUUAGGAAUUGCAUUCGAUACUGGGAAGCUAGAGUAUGGGAGAGGAUGGUAGAAUUCCAGGUGUAGCGGUGAAAUGCGUAGAGAUCUGGAGGAAUACCGAUGGCGAAGGCAGCCAUCUGGCCUAAUACUGACGCUGAGGUACGAAAGCAUGGGGAGCAAACAGGAUUAGAUACCCCCGUAGUCCCUGUCUCUUAUAC